UAUAUAGUUCAUACAGAGUUCUCAUAAUACAGCUUGUAUAAUAGACAAGCCGGGUAGAGUAGGCGGUGAGACAAUAAACAAAGGAACUCCUGAGCAGGGUCUAGAUGCCUAAAAUAAAUAGAAGACAUGCAAAGCAAAGGACUGAGCAGCAGACAUAAGAGUGAGACAUGAUAAUCCAGUACCCAGCACCACUCUCAUGUCAUACAGCUUCCAUGCAACCUCAUGAACUAAAAAAAUCACCAUGCGUCGGUGGCAUCUUCAGGAUCUUCAACAUCUUUCAUAUGCUUCUUGCUAGGGCACUUCAGCAUGGGCACCCCCAUUCGCUUUGUACCUGCCAUAUCAAAUUCCGAGUGUCUUGAGUAAUAGUUUGGCCAAGAAAAACUGACCCACAAACAACUAGCGCUAAUACAACAACCAUUAUUCUACAUUUCCAUGCUUGAAGACUAGUGAAAAAAGAACAGACUUGGUAAGCAUGCAACCCUCACCCUAUAAAUAAAUUACAUGCCACAGAAGAAGUGUGAAUUUUACUGUUAGCAUCCCCAAAUUGCUGGCAUUUGACCUGAGAUAACAAGUAGUCCUUCCGUAAAGAAAUACAAGAGGGUUUAAUUCGGAUAAUCCACCCUAAACCUGCCACUAUCAAUGUAAUGUCGUCCCCACUCCAUCAAGAAGAACAUGCAUUAAUCUGGUAGUUCAGCAAUGUAUUGUUGAAAGUAACAUACAGUGAGGUAGGGGUGAAAAUAGAGCAUGGUCAGUUACCUGGAGCAGGCUGGAGAUAUGCCGAGAUCCUAGUUGCGACAUAGCCCCUGGUUAAACCAAAAGUCCUCUUGGCGGGAAACUCGGCGACGUUCUUAACGGUCUUGGUCUCCAUGUCAACAGCAAGCACCCAAGCUGUGUGUCUCAUUGUGGUGUAGUCAAUCUUGGCGAGGAAGUAAACAAUGGGAUCAUUCUGGAGGCUGAGGGUGGGCAGACCAACGUGUAGAGUCGACAAGGUUGGGUGGGCAGCCGUGGCACCACAACCAUCAACCUUUAUAUGGGCGGAAUCGAGCUUGUAAACCAAGCGCCAAUCCUUGGGCGAGGGGUGGCUGGUAUUUCCGAGGCUCCAUGCUGUGACCUCCCAACGAUGAUGCUGCGAAUUGGAGGAGCUGCUGUGUGCUGUCGGGGUGAACAAACAUCUUGACAUACUUGAUGGAGUUGUCCACGAGGGCAACGUCACGAACAGCCCUUGGCUCGCCAUACCCCACAUGGGGGCCGGGCAUGAUGGGCGAUGGCAGCUUCAGGUAGGUGAGCUUGGGGCGUUUGGCAAGCACGUCGCAUAAGAUGAUGUCGUCCCAAAGAUCCACCCAGGCGACGGUGCCUUUGGGGCCUCUGAUGGUGAGCGUCUUGCUUGUGAAGUGGUCUUCUGGACAUGACCCAAGCACCACCGGCUUCUUGGUCCAGGUCCCAAUAUCAGAUUGAUAGAUGCAGAGCUGAGGAGAUGGUACACCUAAAAAGAUAUGAGCUUGUGCGGCAACGACGAAGCUGCAGCUGCCGCAGUAAUGGUGCCCCGGCUCUCCAUGCACAUGGGGGCGUAGGGUAAGGUGUUGAGGGUGGAGGGUUAAGUCGCUGUCAUUGCCGAUGCGGGUGCCUUUGCCUUUCGGGCCUUUGUUGCACCUGCGCAUAAUGGUAAGCGAGAGCGGGUUGAAGAGGUGUUGGGAGCCGGGGUGCGGGAGGUGGUGGAUUUUGCGGGUGAAGGCGUCGUAGACAAAGUAUUGACGAAAUCCGGGAAGCUGGGCCAUGCAUGAAUGGGCACCGGGGACGACGCAUAGGAGGGCGAGGCCGCCGUCGUUCUCUGUGGCCAUGAUGUAGGGCGAGACGGCGAACUCGGUGCGGUCCAUGUGGGUGGCGUGGACGCAGAAGUAGGAGACGAGCGGCGGGGCGACAGCGCAGAAGGUGACCUGGAGUCGGCCCUUGAGGUCGGGGCCCUCCAAAUCGCAGAUGGCGGUGGUGCCGUUCCUGCGGUUGGAGAAGUAGGCCUUUGGAUCGAUGAGGACAAAGGGCGGCCGCUCGGCACCGUCGUCGGGGUAGCCGUAAUCGGGAGGAGUCAGCUUGACGGCCAUCGAUUGAUUCUCAGAGUCUUGUGAAGAUCUAGGGUCGAUGAGGCCUUGACGUGCGCGCGAGCGAGCGAUCACCAAAUUAAAAGACCGCUGCAGUAUGCACCUCGUUCGUUCGUACGAGCUGGACUUCAUUGAAAAUUGUUCAUUCAAGUAAGAACAAUGGUCAUGUAAGUAAAAAAAAAUACCCAAAUGAGAUGGGGGCAAUGCGUUGGUCGUCGGGGACGUUGUCCUCUUCAUGCACUGCGUCGUCGGGGAGAUGGUCUCGGGGAGGCGGAGGGAGCCGAGGGAGAGGACACUGGGUUGGGCGAAGGUCGACGACGAGCUGCCGCGCUUCACCAUCGGCAUGAGGCAGAGUUGGGCCAGGAGGUGGACGAGGCCCUGCUACUUGCGGCCGAGCUGCUCGUCGGCGUGGACGCCGUCUUCCUCGUGUGUGCCGCUGAUGGGCAACUGCUCGCCGGAUUUCGUCGCGAGCUCAGGUAUUUCGCUGUCUCCCAGUAGCCGCCCAAUUUUUUCCUCAUCCGCCAUGGCCGCCAGCUCGAGCUCUCCUACAGGAUUGAGACGAGCACGACCCUGCUACGUUUCAUACUGCAAUCUUAGCUAUUGGUUUUACAAUUUUUUGCAUUCAUAAUCUGUAGUUGCUAUGCACAUUCCCAGUAUGCCGUGAUGGCAAGUUUGAUAUGAACACCCACUGCAUUCUUGCCAUGUUUUUUGCUUAGGAAGAACAUGUUUUAGGGAGGCAAACAAUGUUAGGAAUAAGCCGUGGCCGUCACGGUGGCGACCACGUCGGGUGCGUGUGCGUGCGCACACCGGACGCGUCGGGUGCAGACUGAGCUGCAUCGGGUCCGUGGCGGGAGUGCACGGGUGUGCGUGUGUGUGGGUUGGUUAGACAAAUGCGCGGGGGUGUGGCCGCGCCGGGCGCCAGACCCGGUCACGUCCCCUUGGCGUGCAUGCGCGGCGAAGUGGGCAGCGGGGCUGUGGCGGGAGCGGACGUGGGCGUUGGCGCGCGCGUGUAUAAGCCCCGAGCCCGCGUGUUGUAGUCUGUAGCUCGAGUUCGUGGCUUGAGUAAAAAAAAUGACUGUUCAUGCGGCCCGCGGCGUUCGUGCGCCGGGUAUAUCUUGCUAUGUGCGUCUCGUUCUUCCUCCUUUCUUCUACGUUCGUGCGAGAGAGAGAGAGACCUCCGGUGAGAGGCAAGGCGAGGCUCCGGCAAAAACAAACAAGUGAACUACAUUGGACAUGGCAAGAAAACAUGGCAGUUUUUGAUAUUAGUAGUUGCCAUAUGGACAUGACAUUUUGCCAUGGCAAUUCUAGAAAUCUUUGUAAUGACACAACAUCAACUAAUGAUGAUUUUUGCCAUGGAAAAUUCAUGCUCCAUUUUAGUUGUUUUCACCCAUGGCAUUUGGAGAGAACGUCGCAGAAGAUGAUGUUGCACAAGAGAUCCACCCAAGCCACGGUGCCAUUGCUUCCUCCGAUGGUGAGUGUCUUGCUUGUGAGGUGGUGUUCUGGAUAUGAUGGACCCAUCACCACCGGCUUGUCGCUCCAGGUCUUGAUAGCAGAGUCAUAGAUGCAGAGGUGAGGAGAUUUUUUACCCCAGAAAAUGUAGGAUUGUGCGGCAACGACAAGCCGGUGGUGAUGGGUCCAUCAUAUUCAGCUUCCAAUCAACAUCACUCCACCAUGGCGUCAACAUCUCCAGUAUGCUUCUUGCUAGGUGAUUUCAGCAACGGCGCCCCUGGUCGUUUAUGUAUUUGCUUCGUACCUGGCACAUCAAAUUCUGCAUUUCUUCAGCAACAGUUUGGGAAAGAAAAACUGAUCGACAAACAACUAGCGCUAAUAGAACCGUUAUUCUACAUUUCCAUGCAAAAAGGCUACUGAAAAAAGACCAGCAUGUAAUGCUCACGCCCUAUAAAUAAAUUACAUGUUCUGGUUAGGAUAUCACCGUCAGCAUCCCCAAAUUGGUGGCAUUUAGACUUGCGCACUGGACGUAUAUCAGCUGCCAUCUCAUUGCUAUAUAUCUAUAUAAUGUGUUCAAAACCUCGAUAAGUUCCUCCCAAACAAGAGGUGCUAAGUGUCAACCAAACUCGUCUUGAGAUGAAUUGUAUCAUGACCUAGCAUAUCAUCUUAUUUUGGUUGAAAUCAUACCCUAAAACCCACACUAUCGACGACGAUGCUGUCCCCACUCAUCAAGAACAUGCAUUGAUCUGGUAAUUUAGCAUGGAGUAUUGUUGGAAGUAUCAGUUACCUGGCGUGGGUUGGAGAUAUGCGGAAAUCCUACUUGCGUCGUAGCCCUCGGCUACACAAUAAGUCCUCUCAGCAGGGAACUCCACCACUUGCUCAGCAGUCUCGUUCUUCAUGUCAACAGCAAGCACCCAAGCUGUGUGUUGGCUUGGGUUGAAGUUAAUCUUGGCGAGGAAGUAAACAAUGGCAUCAUUCUGCAGGCUGAUUGUGGGCAGGCCAACGCAAAGAGACGACAAGGUUGGGAAGGAAGCCGCGGUACGAGCUGCAUCAACCAUUAUACGGGUGGAAUCGAGCUUGCAAACCAUGCGCCAAUCCUUGGCCGAGGCGUGGCGGCUCUUGUCGAUGCUCCAUGCUGUGGCCAUCCAACUGAUGGAAAUUUUGCGUCACCGGCAUGUCUAGAACAGGGUCUCCAGACAAUGAAGAAAGGAACUCGAGAACAGGUUCUAGAGGUCCGUAAUACUCACCCAACUUUCCACAGGUUAUGAUCAUAACAGAAGACAACCGCGAGCAACAGAAAACAGAAGGUGGGUACUACAACCGACAUAACACAUAUAGUUCAUACAGAGUUUUAAUAAUACAGCUUGUAUAAUAGACAAGCCGGGUAGAGUAGGCGGUGAGACAAUGAAGAAAGGAACUCCAGAACAGGGUCUAGAGGGCCAUAAUAAUCCUAAAAUAAAUAAAAGACAGGCAAAGGAAGGGUCAGACCAGCAGACAUGAUAAUCCACUACCCCCUCCACUGAUACCCGGCACCAAAGGCAGGUCAUACAGCUUCCAUCCAUGCAACCUCAUGAAGAAACAAUCAUCAUGGCGUCGUCUUCUUUAGGAUCCUCAACAUCUUUAGCAUGCUUCUUGCUAGGGCAUUUCAUCAACGGCACCCCUCGUCAUUUAGGCAUUUGCUGUGUACCUGGCAUGUCAAAUUCCACAUGUCUUCAGUAAUAGUUUGGGAAAGAAGAAAUGGUCCACAAACAACCAGCGCUAACACAAGCAUUAAUUAUUCUAUAAAACUCUCCAUGCGGAAAGACUACUGAAAAAGCCCAAACUUGAUAAGCAUGUGCAACGCUCGCCC
rnacentral:lncRNA from 1 species